rnacentral:rRNA from 1 species
CGACAUUGAAGCUUGCUUCGAUGGGCGUCGACCGGCGCACGGGUGAGUAACGCGUAUCCAACCUGCCUCUGACUAAGGGAUAACCCGGCGAAAGUCGGACUAAUACCUUAUGAGGUUUUCGCAGACAUCUAAUGAAAACGAAAGAUUUAUCGGUCAGUGAUGGGGAUGCGUCUGAUUAGCUUGUUGGCGGGGUAACGGCCCACCAAGGCAACGAUCAGUAGGGGUUCUGAGAGGAAGGUCCCCCACAUUGGAACUGAGACACGGUCCAAACUCCUACGGGAGGCAGCAGUGAGGAAUAUUGGUCAAUGGGCGAGAGCCUGAACCAGCCAAGUAGCGUGCAGGAUGACGGCCCUAUGGGUUGUAAACUGCUUUUAUGUGGGGAUAAAGUGAGCUACGUGUAGUUUAUUGCAGGUACCACAUGAAUAAGGACCGGCUAAUUCCGUGCCAGCAGCCGCGGUAAUACGGAAGGUCCAGGCGUUAUCCGGAUUUAUUGGGUUUAAAGGGAGCGUAGGCCGUGGAUUAAGCGUGUUGUGAAAUGUAGACGCUCAACGUCUGAAUUGCAGCGCGAACUGGUUCACUUGAGUAUGCACAACGUAGGCGGAAUUCGUCGUGUAGCGGUGAAAUGCUUAGAUAUGACGAAGAACUCCGAUUGCGAAGGCAGCUUGCGGGAGCACAACUGACGCUGAAGCUCGAAGGUGCGGGUAUCAAACAGGAUUAGAUACCCUGGUAGUCCGCACAGUAAACGCUGGAUGCCCGUUGUUAGUUCACUUAUG